GUGUAAUGUAGCUUAGUUAACUAAUAUGGUUAGCUGAUCAGUUCAAAGCCUGAGAAAGUAAUUACAGUUUUGUAAUGAACAAAUACAGAUGACAC
rnacentral:ribozyme from 2 species